rnacentral:ncRNA from 2 species
CUAUAAUUACUGGGGAGCACUUGCUGAGAGGUUGCCAUAGGUAACGACCCAUUGACCUGAUUCGGUUAAUGCCGACGGAGGGAUAGAAAUGAACACAAAUAU